AGAGGCUGGAGGGAGGAACAGGAGGGGGAAGCUGAGAAAGAGGCUGAGCCUGUGCAGCGUGUCAGUGUCGUUGUGGGAGGAAGGCCCGUGAGAAUGGAGUCCUGUGUCCCACUGCAAGUGCAGCGAGUGUUCUGAGGAUGGAGUGGAGCUCUGGGGAUGGCAGCCGUGAGGCGAGAGGGUACAUCUGCAGUGACCUCUGCACCCGUUGGUAACUGGCAGUUGACAAGACCUCCAGGGCAUCAACCUGAUGGCAGAAAGGGGGGAUGUUUGCAUCGAUCUGCACUUCGAAUUCCACCCUGCCUUCUCCCGCAGUCAGGCUGGGAACGCGGCAGGCAAAGAUGGCAAAGAGCGCUUGGGCGGCUCAGUGCUGGGGCAGAUCCCCUUCCUGCAGAACUGCGAGGACGAAGACAGCGACGAGGACGAUGAGCUGGACAGUGUGCAGCACAAGAAGCAGCGUGUGAAGCUCCCAUCCAAGGCCCUGGUGCCCGAAAUGGAAGACGAGGACGAGGAAGACGACUCCGAGGAUGCUAUCAAUGAGUUUGAUUUCCUGGGCUCA
rnacentral:sRNA from 1 species